UGAGCAAUCUGCCCUUCUCUUUGGAAUAAGCGUUGGAAACGACGUCUAAUGCCGAAUACGACCUCCUUUCGCAUGAUCGGAGGUGGAAAGCUCCGGCGGAGAAGGAUGAGCUCGCGGCCUAUCAGCUAGUUGGUGUGGGUAAUGGCCCACCAAGGCGACGACGGGUAGCCGGCCUGAGAGGGUGACCCGGCCACACGUGGGACUGAGACACGGCCCAGACCUCCGUACGGGAGGNAGCG
rnacentral:rRNA from 1 species